UCGACGAAGCGUGCGGAUGGAAUUUCUUCGGAGAGGAAGCCUGCAUGACUGAGUGGCGGACGGGUGAGUAACGCGUGGGCAACCUGCCCUGCACAGGGGGACAACAGCCGGAAACGGCUGCUAAUACCGCAUAAGCGCACAGCUUCGCAUGGAGCAGUGUGAAAAGCUGCGGCGGUGCAGGAUGGGCCCGCGUCUGAUUAGCUGGUUGGCGGGGCAACGGCCCACCAAGGCGACGAUCAGUAGCCGGCCUGAGAGGGUGGACGGCCACAUUGGGACUGAGACACGGCCCAGACUCCUACGGGAGGCAGCAGUGGGGAAUAUUGCACAAUGGGGGAAACCCUGAUGCAGCGACGCCGCGUGAGCGAGGAAGUAUUUCGGUAUGUAAAGCUCUAUCAGCAGGGAAGAAAUUGACGGUACCUGAGUAAGAAGCUCCGGCUAAAUACGUGCCAGCAGCCGCGGUAAUACGUAUGGAGCAAGCGUUAUCCGGAUUUACUGGGUGUAAAGGGAGCGUAGGCGGCCUGCCAAGUCUGAUGUGAAAUACCGGGGCUCAACCCCGGGGCUGCAUUGGAAACUGGCAAGCUGGAGUGUCGGAGAGGCAGGCGGAAUUCCUAGUGUAGCGGUGAAAUGCGUAGAUAUUAGGAGGAACACCAGUGGCGAAGGCGGCCUGCUGGACGAUGACUGACGCUGAGGCUCGAAAGCGUGGGGAGCAAACAGGAUUAGAUACCCAGGUAGUCCACGCCGUAAACGAUGAACACUAGGUGUCGGGGAGCGAAGCUCUCCGGUGCCGCAGCAAACGCAGUAAGUGUUCCACCUGGGGAGUACGUUCGCA
rnacentral:rRNA from 1 species